GUUGCCGGCUUGCCGCACCCUGUGACCCACAUGCCACCUCGGCACCUCUCACUCUCAUGCUUUCCUCAAGCCAAAGAGGUGAACUGCACAGCACCAUAAAAGAGAGCCAGGUAGGAGCUAGCUGCCAUUUCUGAUUUUCUGUCCUGACCUGAGUGACUCGCUCAUGAUUAGUGGUGGUAUUAGCGUCCAUAAGCUACAAUGAGACGGUGCUAGCUUUGCAAUGCUUGCAAGUGAGGAUGUCUUUGGCUUUUUAACCAAGCUGCUUAGAAGUACACUAGUGAAGAGAUUUCUUUUGAGGAAUUUCCCAAUGUGAUCACCUUUGCUUUAGCGCAAAUAACAGGAGAAAGAGCUGGAAUGUGGUGAUCCAAGAAAAGGGUGUGAGAAGCUCAUGUGAUGUACUGACAAAAGCACAACUAAUAUGCCCUUUUGGCCUUUUCUUCUGUUGGACAGGAUUCAUUUCCUCCAGCCUUUCCAGUGUCACUGUGCCCAACACUACCGGCUCAUUUUUAAAGCAGGAUUACCAGAAGAUUUCCACGAGAUGAUGUGACAAUCACACUGGCUCUCCAGUUUCCAUGGGAGCAGAGGCGCGGAGCAGAAGCUUGCGAUGCUGCUCCAGUUCCAGUGAUUGCUCUGCGAGAGUUUUGUGGCAUGUGAAUGUCUGAACGGAAGCUUCGGUUUCUGAAUGCCGCACAUGUUUGGUGGCCACAGGAAAAGGACUGAACAGGAUCGAGGUGUACCAAGCCUGAUGUGAUUACGUGAGGACGCGGCCAAUGUGGUGCGAGAGGGUGAUGGAGAACUGGAGGAUGCGGCGACGCCUGCAGUGUCGGUGGGACGAGACGAGAGACGAGACGACCUGUUCCUGCAGCUCAGCUCGUGCCCCGCCACUGUCCUUAGCUUAAUUGAGCACCUUCUCGAGGGGAAUGCAGAAUAAUCAAAGGCUGUCGCGGUUGUUGGUGAAGGAAGCCCUGAUCAUGAGAGCGGCGCUGUCAGGCUGGCUCGUUCAACUGGGCGGGCUCCCCGAGCAGAAUCACGGUUCGCCAAGAACUCGUGCUGCUUUUACAUCCGUGAUCCAACAAAGGAUCACUGGAGCGGCAUGAUUAAAAGGCCGUGUAUGUUUUACAAAGCAGACACUCAUGAGAAAAUUACUGCGAGCGCAUAUGUUUGGGUGAAUUUCAGGUUUUUGAAAUUGAGAAUGCGGUUGUGGCCUCUGUAUUGCUGCUGCAUACUGAACUUGCCCCGUCAAAUUUGGACUCAGUGUGCGCGACAGCUUGUUCACGCAUCAGCAGAAACCUGAACUUGCACGUCGUGUUUCUUGAGGCCGCUGAACUUGUUCACGCAUCGUCAAGUUCAGUUCAUGACACUGCCACUUUGCAAGUAA